rnacentral:rRNA from 1 species
GAUGAACGCUGGCGGCGUGCCUAAUACAUGCAAGUCGAGCGAACAGAUGAGGAGCUUGCUCCUCUGACGUUAGCGGCGGACGGGUGAGUAACACGUGGAUAACCUACCUAUAAUACUGGGAUAACUUCGGGAAACCGGAGCUAAUACCGGAUAAUAUAUUGAACCGCAUGGUUCAAUAGUGAAAGACGGUUUUGCUGUCACUUAUAGAUGGAUCCGCGCCGCAUUAGCUAGUUGGUAAGGUAACGGCUUACCAAGGCAACGAUGCGUAGCCGACCUGAGAGGGUGAUCGCCCACACUGGAACUGAGACACGGACCAGACUACUGCGGGAGGCAGCAGUAGGGAAUCUUCCGCAAUAGGCGAAAGCAUGACGGAGCAACGCCGCGUGAGUGAUGAAGGUCUUGGGAUCGUAAAACUCUGUUAUUAGGGAAGAACAAAUGUGUAAGUAACUAUGCACGUCUUGACGGUACCUAAUCAGAAAGCCACGGCUAACUACGUG